GUACACCAUACCCAGUUUUUCCGAAUGCUAACAUCUUAUAUUACUGUGGUACAUAGGUUACAUUGAUGAAACAGUAUUGAUACUUUAUUAUCAAUGAAAUUCCUUACAUUAUUGGGAUAUUCUUGGUUUUUACCCAGUGCCCUUUUCUAUUCCAGGAUCCCAUCCAGGACACCACAUGACAUUCAGUUGUCUUGCUUCUUUAGGCUCCUCCUGGCUCUGUGCAGCGUCCCGAGGGAGACACCUUGCUACAGGCAGCUGGAGGCUACAGGGUGCCCUUCAACUCUCUGAGGUUCUCAGGUCACAAGAACAGAAACCGCUUUACUCGUGAGCCCCCAGCAUCCCACCGCACAUCAUCACAUUCAUUCCAGGCAGGGGGAGCCGGGAGAGACCAUCAACCUCAACGCGGAGAACGAGGGAGUCCGAGAGCGGAUGGCCUGCUCAGGCCGGUGGCCGGUCAGCAGCCCACAGGGAGCCAGGCCUGCAGAGGAGCUGGGUGGUACCCAGCUCAUCAUCCUGCUCCUCCUUUCCGGGGCCGAGCCCCCUGGGCCUCAUCACCUCUUGGGUGGUCUUGUCAGUGGGAAAUUAUGGAUUUGACCUGGCCUUCAUUAUCAUAAGGAAAUUAUCAGGAAUGUGGAAAACACUUUUGGUCCACAUACAUCUGUAGGAGCAGUAGUUACAGUAGGACGAGCUGGAGAUCCAACCGUCCAAUGUGGAGAGGCUGAGGGAAGUCACUCAGAGAGCCUGCAAACUCGGCGAACGCCGGGUGUGUGGCGCUAAGUAGCAUAGAUCUUGUGUGAAGUGCUCUUGUCACACAAAAGGAGGGGACUGUUGUGGUGAUGGUGAAGUUUGUGGUGACCGUUUCAUGAGUGUUACUUACUUUCAAGCUCAUCAAGGUAUGUGCAUUAAAUGUGUACACUUUUUUUUGUGUUGGCCAAUCUCAAUUAAGAAUAAAAAGAAACAAGAGCUUAGAAGGGCGUCCGUGGCAUGAGCCCUGAAGGUCGACACGAGUGGAGGACGUGACACACCGCAUCUCCACACUGAGCUGUGCUUUCAAAAACUUUCCUUCUAUUUGUAUAUCUUCCAGAUUCC
rnacentral:lncRNA from 1 species